GCAUCCUUGAGGCGGGAUGCAGGCGUGGCCACCCCGGCGCCUUGCUCCAGCCGAGACCAGAUCUACCCUCGUCCGCGCUCCAGGAGAAAACGGAUCUCUGCAACCAUCUCGUACGCUUUCCAGCCGCCCAUCCACCGGCCUCUCCUCCUUCAGUCAGCCUGCAAACCUAGAGGCCCGUUUGCAAAAAAAAAAAAAAAAAUACAGCGUGGAAAAGCCUCCACCGAGUUCGUACAAAGCCCUAGCUCUCUGAAUGGAUUCUUUGGUUUGUUUUUACUUUAACUGAUUUCAGCCUUUAGUCCUGCGCAAACCGCUCUGCUGCUGAGAGAUUUAAAGGAAAGGUUCUGCGCCUUUAAGAACUCAAUUCAGCUGCUCCACGGACUGAAGCACGCCAAGCCUCCCUGUCCUUCACCAUCUCCCGGAGCUUGCUCGGACUCCUGUCCAUUGAACCUUAAGGACUCCAGAGACCAGAGCAACUGAUAAUGUGCCAGGCCUGGAAAAGACCCCACCCAGGGAAGUCUUCCUCUUCCUGUUUCACAGUAACUGAAUGAACCAAGUUGUGGUAUCAACAUUUGAGAAGCUCCCCCAUUGCCUCCCCAGCAAUGCAACAGAGAAGUUUCCAUGGCCUAUAGCAGAAGAUGUUAGGACAGAAUCCAAACCCUCAGUAACACGACACGGAAAAUACAGAUUUGAGAAACAGAUGGUCUUACUUCCCAAUAAGGGGGAAAAAAAUGAUUUUACGCAGGUUGGAGUGGAACCAGAGAAGACUUGCCACUCAAUUCCAGCACUAUGUGCCAGUCACAUACUUUACAGUGAAGCACUUGAACCCUCCCUCCAACAACCCUACCAUGGAAUCUACUAUUAACUGCACUUGAUAGAUUUGAAAACAGUCACGUGGGCUUUCUGGGGGCUCAGUGGUAAAGAAUCCACCUGCUAAUGCAGGAGACACGGGUUCAAUCCCUGGUCCAGGAAGAUCCCACAUGCCAUGGGACAGCUAAGCCAGUGUGCUACGGCUACUGAGCCUGAGCUCUGGAGCCAGCAAGCCACAACUGCUGAGCCCGCAGGCCCUAGAGCCUGUGUGCCACGAGAAAAGCCACUGAGAUGAGAAGCCUGAGCACUGCAACCAGAGAGUAACCGCCCUACCACGAGAAAAGCCAUUGAAAUGAGAAGCCUGAGCACUGCAACUACAGAGUAACUGCCCUGCUCGCUGCGACUAGAGAAAAGCCUGCUUGCAGCAACGAAGACCCAGCACAGCCAUAAAUAAAUAAAUAAAACUAUAUUUUUAAAAAAGAAAA
rnacentral:lncRNA from 1 species